UCUCAGUUCAGAUUGCAGGCUGCAACCCGUCUGCAUGAAGUCGGAAUUGCUAGUAAUCGCGGAUCAGCAUGCCGCGGUGAACACGUUCCCGGGCCUUGUACACACCGCCCGUCACACCAUGGGAGCCGGUAAUACCCGAAGUCAGUAGUCCAACCUCGUGAGGACGCUGCCGAAGGUAGGAUUGGCGACUGGGGUGAAGUCGUAACAAGGUAUC
rnacentral:rRNA from 1 species